AACGGCGAGUGAAGCGGCAAGAGCUCAAAUUUGAAAUCUGGCCUCCCCCGGGGGCCCGAGUUGUAAUUUGCAGAGGAUGCUUCGGGUGCGGCCGCCGUCUAAGUUCCUUGGAACAGGACGUCAGAGAGGGUGAGAAUCCCGUCUUGGGCGGGCGGACCGCGCCCGUGUGAAGCUCCUUCGACGAGUCGAGUUGUUUGGGAAUGCAGCUCUAAGCGGGUGGUAAAUUUCAUCUAAAGCUAAAUACUGGCCGGAGACCGAUAGCGCACAAGUAGAGUGAUCGAAAGGUUAAAAGCACCUUGAAAAGGGAGUUAAACAGCACGUGAAAUUGUUGAAAGGGAAGCGCUUGCGGCCAGACUCGGGGGCGGGGUUCAGCGGGUGCUCGUCGCCCGUGUACUCCCCGUCUCCCGGGCCAGCAUCAGUUUCGACGGCCSGUCAAAGGCCCCCGGAAUGUGUCGUCUCUCGGGACGUCUUAUAGCCGGGGUGCAAUGCGGCCCGUCGGGACUGAGGAACGCGCUCCGGCUCGGAUGCUGGCGUAAUGGCCGUAAGCGGCCCGUCUUGAAACACGGACCAAGGAGUCUAACAUCCACGCGAGUGUUCGGGUGUCAAACCCGUGCGCGCAGUGAAAGCGAACGGAGGUGGGAGCCCUAGGGCGCACCAUCGACCGAUCCUGAAGUCUUCGGAUGGAUUUGAGUAGGAGCGUGGCCGUUGGGACCCGAAAGAUGGUGAACUAUGCCUGAAUAGGGUGAAGCCAGAGGAAACUCUGGUGGAGGCUCGCAGCGGUUCUGACGUGCAAAUCGAUCGUCAAAUUU
rnacentral:rRNA from 1 species